GGCAGUGAGGAGGGCAGGGAUGAGGCGCCGGGGUGGUUGGCCCGCUGGAGGAGGAGCGGUGCUCGCAGAGGUCUUGGUCCUCUUCCAGUCGAGGGUGGUCAAGUGGCGGGAAGAGUAGCCGGGCCAGUGCCAGGAGCGUCUCGGUGCCAAGGAGGGGCCGUGCCUGCUCCCCAGGGAUAGCAGGCGGGUGCCAGCCUGGCCCUUUGUCAGCCCCAAGGGGGCCCUGGCAUGACAGGGACCUGGCACGGGCGCUGGCAUUGUGCAGAACGGGGGAGGGCGGCAGGGACUCUUGCCAGUGUGGCGAAGAGCAUCGUUUUGUUGUGCCAGGAUUGAGAAGGGAAGAGGCCUGGGGAAUGGAGCAGAGACGGGCCAGAGGCUUAAGGACACAAAGGAGGAAGGACGCCAUUGCCAAGACCCCAAGGAAGAGGCUGGAGCACGGGCGCCCCACCUGGCGUCCCGCCAGGCCCCGUGAAGAUGCAGCUCCUCCGCCGGGCCCGGACUGUGUUUUAAACAAAUAUUCUCGUGACCGAGAUGCGGUUGGGUGGAACUCAGAGAAACACAGUUGUCCUAGAUAGCAGGUACCUUGUAGGUAGCCACGUGCUUCCUCCCAGUCAUCCUCAUGUCCUUGUGCUGUCCUGCAUGAGUAUGUGUGUGCGUGUGUGUGCGAUUGUGUGUAUGAGAGUGUGCGACUAUGUGAGAGCGGGUGUGAAAUCAUGAGUAUGAGUGUGUGAGAGCAUGUAUGUAUGAGAAUGUGACUGUGUGUGUGAGCGUGUGUGAGAUUGCAUGAGCAGAUGAGUCUCUGGGUGCAAUUGUGUAUAUGAUUGUGUGUUUAAGAGUGUUUGACUUAGUGCGUGUGAUCAUGUGUGUAAGAUUGUGUGUAUCUGAAUGUGUGAUUUGUGAAAGCAUGUGUGAAAUUGUGAGUUGAGUGUGUGAGUGUAACUGUGAGUGUGUGUGAGAUUGUGUAUAUGAUUGUGUGACUCAGUGUGUGGGACUGUGUAUGGGAGUGUGUGUGAGAUUGUAUAACUCUGGGUGUGAAUGUAUGAUUGUAUGUAUAAGAGUGUGUGACUCAGUGUGUGUGUGUGUGUGUGUUGUGUGAAAUUGUAUCUGUGUGACUCUGUAUGUGAUUAUACAAGAGUGUGUGAGUGUGUGAGUGUGUGUGUUAGGUGGGGGCAGCAGAGAGGCAGUCCAGUCUGGCAGAUAUGAUUUGUUAGAAAACUGUGUCUCCCUGGCAGUGGCCGUUACAGAAGAACCCUCUGGGUACUUUUCCGAAGUCCUUCCUUUCGCUCCCAGUUCCUGUAGCGCGUGAGGCCUCGGCACUGAGAGCUGGAGGCUGGGAGCUGCUUUCUGUGGUCGCGCCGUGGCUGUGGAUUCUGUGGCUCCCCGAGGGAAGGGUCCCUGUGGCGCCUCUUCCUGGAGGCCGGCCUGGGUGCCGGGAGGUGGCCAAGCAUGGGUCCAGCUGUGGCGGCACUCAGUCAUGAUGGAACUCUCCAGAAUGAACUUGGAUAUUGGGGUGAGCCACACCUGGCAGUGCUCAGGGAUCACUUCUGGCAAGGCUCGGGGACCAGGUGAACCCAGGUGGGCUGCACGUAAGGCAAGUGCCUCACUCGCUGUACUCUCCGCCCCUCCCCUUUCUCUUUCUGCCCCAUCUAAAGUCUACCUGCUUCCUCCCUAACUUCCUUCCCUCUAUGCUUGGGGAGCGGCAAGAAAUCCCAGACAUCUUCCCCGUGUCCACCGUUCCUCCAGGCGAGUCCUCGCCGAAUGCUCUGUCCUCCCCGUGAAGGGCAGUCUCCUCGUGAGACUCUCCUGAGACUGUCUCAGCUUUCCCCCAAUCUGACGGGCCCCAAUUCUGAUCUUCAAAAUGUUAUUUUCAUGUCACCUUUGGACAAGGCAUCUGUGCUGGGAUCCCCUGGGCCUGCGGGCUGGCUCUAGCCUUUCUCGUGUUCCUGAGGACUUCGUUGGUCUUGGGGGUCCUCCAGGAAGGAGGAUGCAUGGCGGCCCCCUGGCUCCUAGAUCCUGGGGCUGGGUCCCUGUCUAACAUGGGGCCCAGGCCAGGGUCCUCCAGCUUUUAUGAGUUUUCCUGGUUUCCCCAAAUUUCUCAUCUGUCUUCUGCACCCUCUUGUCACACCCCAGAGCUCCUUUCAGGUCUAUUUUCCAUGGAUUCAGGUUCAAUACAGGGGGGCCCUGCCACUGUGGUUCGCGUUUCCCUGAGCAAUGAGAAGCAUCUCCUAGAAGUGUGAAGGAAAGCCGCAUGUAGUGGGGAUGUUUCUACACGUAUGGCGAGUGUUAGGUCAUGGUUGGGUCAUGCCCAUGUUCUCAUGGUGCUGGCAUUUGAGCAUCUCCGCUUAGCUCUCUCCGUCUGACUUUGCUGCUGUUUCUGACUGUGUGUCUGUGGUUCUCUGAUGUACAACUAUGCACAGACAUGUGCAUGUCUAGAAUGAUGGGUGAUUGACUGAGUGUGUGUUGGGGGGAGGAGUGCUCCUAAAUAGUGCUCAAGAGGUCCGGGAAUAUUGUUGAUGAUAUCUGACCAAUUGUGCUGGACAGUUCAAUGCUAGGACCCGGCAAUGCCAAAGAACCAGGGACAUCCAUGACUACACCCUCUAGUGUUCGGGGCCAAGGAUCGAAUUUAGGUGCUUGACCCCUACACUAGCUCUCUAAUAAGUGGUCCCCAAGCCCUGAAUGUCAUCAAUGCACAAAUGAAAGGAAUCAAGCAUUUCUGGAAGAGUUGGAAUUCUUCAUUCUUUCAUGUAUUUACUUAUUUCCAGGGGUCUCCCAAGCAAUGCUCAGAAGGCCCAGGGGCCACUCUUAGUCAUACCUGGCCCGGUGCUAGGGGUCUCCAGGGCCACUGAGAGCUGUCCAGCAAUACUCAGGGAACAAUUCAGUUCUGGCGACUGUACUCUGUGUCUUUGCAUGCUAGGUACGCCCUUCAGUGUGUCAAGCCAUCUCGUUGGCCCCACUUUCUUGUUUUGUUUUGUCUUGUGUUUGAGGGGGGUAGUGGUGAGCACCCAGAAGUCCUCAGAGACUAUUCCUGGCUCUGUGCUCAGGACUGAUUCCUGGUGGUGUUGCUCAGGAGAUCAUAUGUGGACCUGGAUUUGAACCAGGAUCAGCAGGACACAAGGCAAGCUCCUUAACCCUUGUCCUGUUUCACCAGCCCCACUAUUUUUUAGGGAUGUUUGGGCCACACCCAGCAGUGCUCAGUGCUUAUUCCAGGCUCUGCACUCAGGAAUCACUCCUGGCAGGCUCAGGCGACCACCAUGGGAUGCUGGGGAUCGAACUUGGGUUGGCUGCAUGCAAGGCAGGUGCCCUACCCACUGUACUAUAGCUCCAGCCGCUAGCCCGACUCUCUUGGUUCUUGUAUGUGCUUUCAAAAGUACCUCCAGGAGCUGGAGGGCCGGGGAAAGGCUGGGUUAUUUUUUUGUGCUUCUAUUGCUAAACACCACCCCAUUUGGCCACUAGUACUUCAGGUUUUGUUUGUUUGUCUGUAUGUUUGUUUGUUUUUGCUUUUGAGCCACACUUAGUCCUGGUGGUGCUCAGGGGAUCAUGUGUGGUGCAAGGGAUCAAAUGGGAUGCAAGGCAAAUGCCUUACUAUCUUUCUGGCCCCUAUCAUGUUUUGGGGUGUGUCUGUGUGGAGGAUUUGGGUGUCACACCUGGUUGUGUUCCACAAUUAUUCUUGUCUCUCUAUUCAGGGAUUUCUCCUGGGUGGUGCUCAGGGGUUGCAGGAUUGGCGGCAUGCAAGGCAAGUGCCCUCUCUCUCUGGCUAAUCCUUCGGAUUUUCUUUGUUCCCACAGACUUUAGUUUUCCCACAAACUUUGGUUUCUUUUUUUUUUUUCUUUUUGGGUCACACCUGGCGAUGCACAGGGGUUACUUCCUAGUUUUGCACUCAGGAAUCACUCCUGGCGGUGCUCAGGGUACCAUGUGGGAUGCUGGGAAUCGAACCUGGGUCAGCCGUGUGCAAGGCAAUCGUCCUACCCGCUGUGCUAUCACUCCAGCCCCCCCUCCUCUAUUUUUUUAAACAAACAAAGUCCUACUCUCCUGCUGUUGUACAUGGGACUACUACUGCUUUCCUCAAUUGUUCCAACACCUUGAGGGCCCCCUUGCCCCACCCUGGGGAUUAUCACCCACUUUUUAUUUACUUUAUUUUGGAGCCAUACCCUGUGGUGCCCAGGGUUUACUCCUGAGCUCAAGGAUUACUCCUGGUGGGGUUAAGGGGACCAUAUGCAGUGCCAGGGAUUGAAUCCACGGUACUGUCUCUCCAUCCCCCAUCAUUAUCACCCACUUUUGAGAAACAGGGAUUUAGAGCAAGAUCAUUUCCAUCCCUCACCUCUGUGCUGACCCUGGCAGGAAGUACGACCAGAAUCCGGAAGCUUUAGGACCUAUUAUGUAUGUCCUAAACAUCCUGGACCUAGUCUAAGAGCAUUAAUAACGGCUCACUGAAAGGUCUACCAAUAGCAAACAGGGAACGUGCCAGGCAUCUGGCAACCCUUGCUCUGGGUCAGUGAUGCCACAGGAGAAACAAUGCAGUGGCACCCGGAGACUUGGCCUUCAUCUUCAGCACUGGGGUCAGGGAUGUGUUUUGCUGGCCCCCUGUGUUUCUUCAGGAGCAGAGUCUAAUCCCCACCCACCCACGCAGGACUUCCAGUCUGAGAAAAGGGCUGUAGGGAGCCAAGCUUACACCGGGGAUGUGGAACAAUGCCCCUCGAGAAGCAUGCCCACGUGCCAGCAGUCAGCUGGCUCCUUGGGUCCCCACACUAUGGGGGACCAGGGCAGGGCAAUUACUUGAUGUCAGUCCUGUUACCAGAAUGGACGUGCUCUGCGCAGACCAGGGUAUUGGGGAGGUUGUUGAAAUGCUAGGGAGACAAGGAGAGGGGAGAUGCCUGAGGAACUUGUUUGGAUUUAGCCUAAAGCCGACCUGCCCCACUAUGUCUCUCCCCCAAGCUUGUGGCCCGUCACCUCCAAUGCUCCCUUGCUUGGACGGUGGGCCGAGGCUUCUCAAAAACAUUUCCUCCUUUCCUCCUAGUUUGUUUUCAACCUGUCUAGGCCUUACGUUCCCAGAAAGCAGAGUGAAAAAGUUUCUUUCCUCCUACCCAUGCUGCUAUGCUGUUCUAUAAGCAGAAUUUCAAAAGGCGAGAGAAAAGUAUCUUUAGGGAAACGCUCAGAGAUGGAUCGUGCCCCUCAAACCACCCACCCUGCUUUUUGGGCAUUAUCAGGAAAACUAGUUCCACCCCGCCCCUGAUUUGUUCCAGCUGGAGUUUUGAUUUUGUUUUGGAGCCACACCCAGCGGUGCUCAGAGCUUACUCCUGACUCUGUGCUCAGGGAUCACUCCUGGUGAGCUCAGGGAGCCCUAUGAGGUACUAGGGAUAGAACCCAGGUUGGCUGCGUGCAAGACAAAUGCCCUGGCCACUGUGCUAUCGCUCCGGCCCUUCAAGCAGGAAUUUCCAAAUGACUGGGACAGGACAUGAGAAUCAUGUCAGGGGGACUAGGGACCCCAGUUUUUUCAUCUGUGCAUUAAGUUUCCAUCACAGUAUUGACUUGGUCUGUGACCACCUCUGGGAAGUAUAAACCCAGGGGCUGGCAAGACCUGCGUGUGUGUGUGUGUGUGUGUGUGUGUG